ACUCCUACGGGAGGCAGCAGUGGGGAAUAUUGCACAAUGGACGAAAGUCUGAUGCAGCAACGCCGCGUGGAGGAUGACACAUUUCGGUGCGUAAACUCCUUUUAUAUAGGAAGAUAAUGACGGUACUAUAUGAAUAAGCACCGGCUAACUCC
rnacentral:rRNA from 1 species